rnacentral:rRNA from 1 species
UAACGAACGAGACCUUAACCUGCUAAAUAGCCCGGUCAGCUUUGGCUGGCCGCCGGCUUCUUAGAGGGACUAUCGGCUCAAGCCGAUGGAAGUUUGAGGCAAUAACAGGUCUGUGAUGCCCUUAGAUGCUCUGGGCCGCACGCGCGCUACACUGACAGAGACAACGAGUUCAUCUCCUUGGCCGGAAGGUCUGGGUAAUCUUGUUAAACUCUGUCGUGCUGGGGAUAGAGCAUUGCAAUUAUUGCUCUUCAACGAGGAAUGCCUAGUAAGCGCAAGUCAUCAGCUUGCGUUGAUUACGUCCCUGCCCUUUGUACACACCGCCCGUCGCUACUACCGAUUGAAUGGCUCAGUGAGGCCCUCGGACUGGCCCAGGAAGGUCGGCAACGACCAUCCAGGGCCGGAAAGUUCGUCAAACUUGGUCAUUUAGAGGAAGUAAAAGUCGUAACAAGGUUUCCGUAGUGAACCUGCGGAAGGAUCAUUA